UGGGGAAUAUUGGACAAUGGGCGAAAGCCUGAUCCAGCCAUGCCGCGUGUGUGAAGAAGGUCUUCGGAUUGUAAAGCACUUUAAGUUGGGAGGAAGGGCAGUAAGCGAAUACCUUGCUGUUUUGACGUUACCGACAGAAUAAGCACCGGCUAACUCUGUGCCAGCAGCCGCGGUAAUACAGAGGGUGCAAGCGUUAAUCGGAAUUACUGGGCGUAAAGCGCGCGUAGGUGGUUCGUUAAGUUGAAUGUGAAAGCCCCGGGCUCAACCUGGGAACUGCAUCCAAAACUGGCGAGCUAGAGUAGGGCAGAGGGUCGUAGAAUUUCCUGUGUAGCGGUGAAAUGCGGAGAUAUAGGAAGGAACACCAGUGGCGAAGGCGACCACCUGGGCUCAUACUGACACUGAGGUGCGAAAGCGUGGGGAGCAAACAGG
rnacentral:rRNA from 1 species